CAGUCGCCACGGUAAUACGUAGGGGGCAAGCGUUGUCCGGAAUCAUUGGGCGUAAAGCGCGUGUAGGCGGCUCGGAAAGUCUGGUGUGAAAACUUGAGGCUCAACCUCAAGGGUGUCGCUGGAUACUAUCGAGCUCGAGUCCGGAAGAGGAGAGUGGAAUUCCUGGUGUAGCGGUGGAAUGCGCAGGUAUCAGGAGGAACACCAAUGGCGAAGGCAGCUCUCUGGUACGUGACUGACGCUGAGACGCGAAAGCGUGGGGAGCAAACAGGAUUAGAUACCCGCGUAGUCCCUGUCUCUUAUA
rnacentral:rRNA from 1 species